CGCCGGCGGCAGGCCUAACACAUGCAAGUCGAGCGGUAGCACAGAGAGCUUGCUCUCGGGUGACGAGCGGCGGACGGGUGAGUAAUGUCUGGGAAACUGCCUGAUGGAGGGGGAUAACUACUGGAAACGGUAGCUAAUACCGCAUAACGUCGCAAGACCAAAGUGGGGGACCUUCGGGCCUCAUGCCAUCAGAUGUGCCCAGAUGGGAUUAGCUAGUAGGUGGGGUAACGGCUCACCUAGGCGACGAUCCCUAGCUGGUCUGAGAGGAUGACCAGCCACACUGGAACUGAGACACGGUCCAGACUCCUACGGGAGGCAGCAGUGGGGAAUAUUGCACAAUGGGCGCAAGCCUGAUGCAGCCAUGCCGCGUGUGUGAAGAAGGCCUUCGGGUUGUAAAGCACUUUCAGCGGGGAGGAAGGCGGUGAGGUUAAUAACCUCGUCGAUUGACGUUACCCGCAGAAGAGCACCGGCUAACUCCGUGCCAGCAGCCGCGGUAAUACGGAGGGUGCAAGCGUUAAUCGGAAUUACUGGGCGUAAAGCGCACGCA
rnacentral:rRNA from 1 species